rnacentral:rRNA from 1 species
UACGUAGGGGGCAAGCGUUGUCCGGAUUUAUUGGGCGUAAAGAGCGUGUAGGCGGCCAGAUAGGUCCGUUGUGAAAACUCGAGGCUCAACCUCGAGACGCCGAUGGAAACCAUCUGGCUAGAGUCCGGAAGAGGAGAGUGGAAUUCCUGGUGAAGCGGUGAAAUGCGCAGAUAUCAGGAGGAACACCGGUGGUGUAGACGGCUCUCUGGACCGUAACUGACGCUGAGGCACGAAAGCGUGGGUAGCAAACAGG